rnacentral:rRNA from 1 species
UUCCGGUUGAUCCUGCCGGACCCGACUGCUAUCAGAGUGGGACUAAGCCAUGCGAGUCAACGCCGAAAGGCGUGGCAUACGGCUCAGUAACACGUAGUCAACAUGUCCAGGGGACGUGGAUAACCUCGGGAAACUGAGGAUAAACCGCGAUAGGCCAAGAUUUCUGGAAUGGAUCAUGGCUGAAACCUAUAUGGCCCCUGGAUUGGACUGCGGCCGAUCAGGCUGUUGGUGAGGUAAUGGCCCACCAAACCUGUAACCGGUACGGGCUUUGAGAGAAGGAGCCCGGAGAUGGGCACUGAGACAAGGGCCCAGGCCCUAUGGGGCGCAGCAGGCGCGAAAACUCUGCAAUAGGCGAAAGCCUGACAGGGUCACUCUGAGUGAUGCCCGCUAAGGGUAUCUUUUGGCACCUCUAAAAAUGGUGCAGAAUAAGGGGUGGGCAAGUCUGGUGUCAGCCGCCGCGGUAAUACCAGCACCCCGAGUGGUCGGGACGAUUAUUGGGCCUAAAGCAUCCGUAGCCUGUCCUGCAAGUCUUCCGUUAAAUCCACCUGCUUAACAGAUGGGCCGCGGAGGAUACUACAGGGCUAGGAGGCGGGAGAGGCAAACGGUACUCAGUGGGUAGGGGUAAAAUCCACUGAUCCACUGAAGACCACCAGUGGCGAAGGCGGUUUGCCAGAACGCGCUCGACGGUGAGGGAUGAAAGCUGGGGGAGCAAACCGGAUUAGAUACCCGGGUAGUCCCAGCUGUAAACGAUGCAGACUCGGUGAUGGGUUGGCUUCGCGCCGAACCCGAGUGCCGCGAGGGAAGCCGUUAAGUCUGCCGCCUGGGGAGUACGGUCGCGAAGACUGAAACUUAAAGGAAAUUGGCGGGGGAGCAC